UACGUAGGGUGCGAGCGUUGUCCGGAAUUAUUGGGCGUAAAGAGCUUGUAGGCGGUUUGUCGCGUCUGCCGUGAAAAUUCGAGGCUCAACCUCGAACUUGCGGUGGGUACGGGCAGACUAGAGUGAUGUAGGGGAGACUGGAAUUCCUGGUGUAGCGGUGAAAUGCGCAGAUAUCAGGAGGAACACCGAUGGCGAAGGCAGGUCUCUGGGCAUUAACUGACGCUGAGGAGCGAAAGCAUGGGGAGCAAACAGG
rnacentral:rRNA from 1 species